GACGAACGCUGGCGGCGUGCUUAACACAUGCAAGUCGAACGGAAAGGCCCUGCUUUUGUGGGGUGCUCGAGUGGCGAACGGGUGAGUAACACGUGAGUAACCUGCCCUUGACUUUGGGAUAACUUCAGGAAACUGGGGCUAAUACCGGAUAGGAGCUCCUGCUGCAUGGUGGGGGUUGGAAAGUUUCGGCGGUUGGGGAUGGACUCGCGGCUUAUCAGCUUGUUGGUGGGGUAGUGGCUUACCAAGGCUUUGACGGGUAGCCGGCCUGAGAGGGUGACCGGCCACAUUGGGACUGAGAUACGGCCCAGACUCCUACGGGAGGCAGCAGUGCGGAAUAUGACACAAUGGGCGGAAGCCUGAUGCAGCAACGCCGCGUGCGGGAUGACGGCCUUCGAGUUGUAAACCGCUUUCGCCUGUGACGAAGCGUGAGUGACGGUAAUGGGUAAAGAAGCACCGGCUAACUACGUG
rnacentral:rRNA from 1 species